rnacentral:lncRNA from 1 species
CGGUGGUGAGCAGUAGCUUGCAACUUUUAUUUGAGAAAAACAGCAGGUAAAUGUAUGUAUCAAAAGAGCGCACAGAUUGACAGAGAGGGGUGGCCAGCAAUGGCUAUGGGAGAUAGGCAGCAGGCUGAUGGCUUCUACUUGGCUCCAGACUGUUCAGACUUCCCAGCUUCUGGGCCCCCAAUUUGGGCGCGGGCCUCGAAAGUAACCGGAAUGGUGAUCUCCGCUGACUGCGUGACUGCUUUGGGCAACGGAGCCUCCACGGUAAGUGUGCCCUCAGGGGAUAGGGAAGAGGACACUAGGGUGGGGUCCACACCUGGAGGGAGCCUGGACACACAGAAAAUCAGGGCAAGGGUUACACAUCCCUCCUGACCCGGGGCUCUUCGCCCUCCGCCCUGGGUCCGCUCCCCCUCCCCCCCACCUCCCCGCCCUCCAUGCAAGGAAUCAGAACUCACGUGUAUUUCCGGGUGAAGCACCGAGAGAUGUAGCCAUGUUCGUCCUGCCUUUCUUCGUGCUUGCCUGUGGGUGGGGACAGAAGGUCAGAAGCAGCCCUCUGCUGUCCUAGCUAAGGAGUGGCUGGGACCCCCCAGGGAGGCAAACAAACCCGAGUGCGGCGGGGUGCCUGACUGUCUGGAAUCUUAAAACUUUCCAGAAACUUCCCUUCUGAGAUUUGGGAUGCGAAGGGCUUGGCUCUGACCCAGACUUGGAUACCAGGGGUUUCAGCCCCCACCCUCAGCCCCCCAGCCACCACUCUCGCCUCGGCAGCUUCGUCCCCUCUGGGCACAAGGGAAACUCACCAGUGAUCUCCACCACGCCUUCCUUGGUCUUCACUGUGAGCUCCUCCGGAGCGAAGUGGUUGACGUCCAGGGACACGCGCCAGCGAUCAGCCGUCUGUCGGAUCUCCGAGACCCCGCUGCUGAGCUGUCGGUUGAGCGCUCGGCUGAAGGCUGGUGCGGCCAGGGUCACCGCCGCGGGGCCCUCGGCGGUCGCGGCGGGCAGCGGGCGCACGUAUCCGGGCCACCCAGCGGCGCUGAACCACUGCGACCACUCAUCGGGCAACCGGGGCACCCCGAAAGCUUGAUCGAAGAGGCGGCUGUGUGCAGGGUACCAGUCCCGGAAUGGUUCCCAGCUCGGGCUCCGCAGCAGCGAGAAGGGCACGCGGCGCUCGGUCAUGUUCUUGGCUGGUCAAGGCUGAGGAUCUAGAAGCACUGGGCUGAGGAUCCGAGAAGUGCCGGACUGGAGCCCCAGCGUGCUUUUAUGUGUGCCCAGCCGGGUAUUUUUAGCAGGCGGUGCUUCAGGUCUCUAUUAAUGGCAAUGACCGUCUCAG